GGGGCAUUGCCGAUAUGGGUGUUUAACGCUGGUUUUGACCUUAAUGAUGAAAUUGAUACAUCAUCCAUAGAAUCCUAUGUGCAAGACGCCCUCGAUGGCAUUGAAUUUGCAAGAGGCUCUCCUACAUCGCAAUGGA